GAUGAACGCUGGCGGCGUGCCUAAUACAUGCAAGUCGAGCGAACAGAUGAGGAGCUUGCUCCUCUGACGUUAGCGGCGGACGGGUGAGUAACACGUGGAUAACCUACCUAUAAGACUGGGAUAACUUCGGGAAACCGGAGCUAAUACCGGAUAAUAUAUUGAACCGCAUGGUUCAAUAGUGAAAGACGGUUUUGCUGUCACUUAUAGAUGGAUCCGCGCCGCAUUAGCUAGUUGGUAAGGUAACGGCUUACCAAGGCAACGAUGCGUAGCCGACCUGAGAGGGGACUGGCCCAACGGGAAACGAGAAACCGGCCAGACCCCCUAGGGGGGGCGGCGGAGGGAAACCUCCCCCAUGGGGGAAAACCCGACGGGGCAAACGCGGGGGGGGGAAGAAGGGUUUUGGAACCGAAAAACCUUUUUUUUGGGAAAAAAAAAAUUGUUAGGUAACAUGGCCGGUUUUAACGGAACCAAACAAGAAAGCCCGGCUAACCUACUG
rnacentral:rRNA from 1 species